AUUCCUGAUAACCAGGUUCGGCCGCCUUCCAGAUUUGCUGAGCGAUCUGCCACGCAGACUCGCGGCGCUGCGUAACGGAUGCCAGCAGCGCUUCUCGAGUCGCAUCUGUCGCAGCCUUCUGAUCAGCACACACGGUCAGACAGAACACCCCACACAGCAACAAAACAACGCAGCGAAACAUAGCAGCACCUUUGAUCAAG
rnacentral:rRNA from 1 species